rnacentral:rRNA from 1 species
AGUCGAACGGCAGCACGAGAGCUUGCUCUUGGUGGCGAGUGGCGAACGGGUGAGUAAUAUAUCGGAACGUAUCCAAUAAUGGGGGAUAACUAAUCGAAAGGUUAGCUAAUACCGCAUACGCCCUACGGGGGAAAGCAGGGGAUCUUCGGACCUUGCGUUAAUGGAGCGGCUGAUAUCUGAUUAGCUAGUAGGUGAGGUAAAGGCUCACCUAGGCUUCGAUCAGUAGCUGGUCUGAGAGGACGACCAGCCACACUGGAACUGAGACACGGCCCAGACUCCUACGGGAGGCAGCAGUGGGGAAUUUUGGACAAUGGGCGCAAGCCUGAUCCAGCAAUGCCGCGUGCAGGAUGAAGGCCUUCGGGUUGUAAACUGCUUUUGUACGGAGCGAAAAGGCUCUCUCUAAUACAGGGGGCUCAUGACGGUACCGUAAGAAUAAGCACCGGCUAACUACGUGCCAGCAGCCGCGGUAAUACGUAGGGUGCAAGCGUUAAUCGGAAUUACUGGGCGUAAAGCGUGCGCAGGCGGUUAUGUAAGACAGAUGUGAAAUCCCCGGGCUCAACCUGGGAACUGCAUUUGUGACUGCAUAGCUAGAGUACGGCAGAGGGGGAUGGAAUUCCGCGUGUAGCAGUGAAAUGCGUAGAUAUGCGGAGGAACACCGAUGGCGAAGGCAAUCCCCUGGGCCUGUACUGACGCUCAUGCACGAAAGCGUGGGGAGCAAACAGGAUUAGAUACCCUG